AUUGAACGCUGGCGGAAUGCUUUACACAUGCAAGUCGAACGGUAGAGGGGGCAACCCCUUGAGAGUGGCGAACGGGUGAGUAAUAUAUCGGAACGUGCCCAGUCGUGGGGGAUAACGUAGUGAAAAUUACGCUAAUACCGCAUACGAUCUACGGAUGAAAGCGGGGGAUCGCAAGACCUCGCGCGAUUGGAGCGGCCGAUAUCAGAUUAGGUAGUUGGUGGGGUAAAGGCUCACCAAGCCAACGAUCUGUAGCUGGUCUGAGAGGACGACCAGCCACACUGGAACUGAGACACGGUCCAGACUCCUAGGGGAGGCAGCAGUGGGGAAUUUUGGACAAUGGGCGAAAGCCUGAUCCAGCCAUUCCGCGUGCAGGAUGAAGGCCUUCGGGUUGUAAACUGCUUUUGUACGGAGCGAAAAGGCUCUCUCUAAUACAGGGGGCUCAUGACGGUACCGUAAGAAUAAGCACCGGCUAACUACGUGCCAGCCGCCGCGGUAA
rnacentral:rRNA from 1 species